GAAACGGGUCACCCUUUGACCCGCACGACCUAGCCCAUUUCUCCAUAUUUUCCGAUGGAUUUCCAAUGAAUUAGACCAAGCCACCACUCCCAAUCAUCAUCUAUCCCUUCCCUCUUCCAUUUCCACCCAAAAUUUGAAGGAAUUUUGGGGUGAAUUUGUGAAAACCCAACGAUGGGGCUACGGGUUCAUGGCGGCCAUUCCUCAAAUCUUGAAGCAAAAUCCUUCACUUACCACCACCAAAACACUCCUAUGUAACCCAGGAACAAAGCUCAAACAAGUUUAGGGGGCGUUGGAGCUGCUAUGGAGUCGAAACGAGGACACCCAAAUUUUAGGGUUCUGGUGGAUACGUGGCAAAUUGAGGUGUGUCCCGGCCAAAUUGGACUUCACCACAGUGGUCCUUCGUCAAAGAAAGUUCAGGGCGAAGGUUCUGACAAAGAAAAAGAAGAGAGUUGCGACAUGCGUUUGAUAUACUUCUUCAGCUAAAAGCCGUUACCGAAUCACUUACGUAGAAUUAGUACGAUAUCAGACGUCGGAUGCGGUGAACAAGUUUAGGGGCAAUGUCGGGGUAUUGGUGCGUGACAAAUGCAGAGUGAAUUGGGAGUCUUAGAAAGACGUCCCCGAGGAGAUAAAGACCGUCAAGGUCGAUGCAUUAGUACUUGAUUGGGACAUUGAAAAAAGUGAUGCAAAUUAGAUGAAGUGCAUCGACGUCAUGUUCAAGUAUCGUUUUGGGGAGUUGAAGCUUGAUGUUGAACGUGAUGCAGAGCAGCAUAGAGUGGUUGGACCAACGCAUAAUUAUAAUAGUUUUUUUUAUUA